GAUGAACGCUGGCGGCGUGCUUAACACAUGCAAGUCGAACGAGAAGUGAAGACGGAAACCUUCGGGCGGAAGGCUUUAUUUCGAGUGGCGGACGGGUGAGUAACGCGUGGGUACCCUGCCUCAUACAGGGGGAUAACAGUUGGAAACGACUGUUAAUACCGCAUAAGACCACAGCACCGCAUGGUGCGGGGGUAAAAACUCCGGUGGUAUGAGAUGGACCCGCGUUCGAUUAGCCAGUUGGCGGGGUAACGGCCCACCAAAGCGACGAUCGAUAGCCGAUCUGAGAGGAUGACCGGCCACAUUGGGACUGAGACACGGCCCAAACUCCUACGGGAAGCAGCAGUGGGGAAUAUUGCACAAUGGGGGAAACCCUGAUGCAGCGACGCCGCGUGAGUGAAGAAGUAUUUCGGUAUGUAAAGCUCUAUCAGCAGGGAAGAAAAUGACGGUACCUGAGGAAGAAGCCCCGGCUAACUACGUG
rnacentral:rRNA from 1 species